rnacentral:lncRNA from 1 species
AUCAAGUGACAUCGUAUUAUCUGGCCUCCUAUCCUAUACCAGUGUUAUACACCAGCAUACUUACACAGUAUAAUUGUCAGAGAUACGGAGAGGUCCCUCAUGCCAACGAUUGUCUCCUCCUAAUGGAACCGGUACUGUAAGAUGUCUGCCAGACCCCUCGAACAAAGUAUUCAAGUAUGUCGAGAACUUAGAAGACCAGCUCCAAGAUCGACAGUGGCAAAUUUGAGCAAAACCCACGGGAUUCUGGUUAACAAUAUAGGUCCCCAGCCAGUCUGUCUACAGGCCCUGAACCACAUUAUUGUCCCAUCUGUCUAGCCCUAUAUAUUUGUAAUGCAUAAGCCCUCAGUGAAACAAGUCUAGAUUUCCUCAGGUUCAGGUUCUGAAUCUCCCGUUUCACUGGAGUUCUUUUUCAAUUUAAAAGGAAUUGUUUGUUUCCAUCAAAAUUAUAUAUAAACGCAUGGCCAAAGAAAGUAUAGGACUGGAAAAAUUAUUUGUCACUGUCAUUGACAUGGUUAGGAGAAUUAGACAUGCUGGCAAUGUUGGCCCCACUACUGGGAAGGGAAAUACACCGCCAAAACGCAACACGUUCGAACGGUGAGAGUGAUGACGUCACAAAUGUUGAAAGCAUGUUCCAUGCCCCUAGCACAUAAUGCACGUGCAAAGUUUCGGUAUAAAUGCGAUGCAUCGGUCCCGUCAUAUCACAGCUGCUGAAAACACAUGAAAAGUAUGCCACGACUGACGCCAGAACAGAGAGAGAGAUUGCCAUAGGGAUGUCCGAUAUGGGAGCGACGAACGUCAGAAUUGCAAGAAGAUUUGGUUGUACGCCACUGACGAUAGCAAGACUCCUCCAACGAUUCAGACAGACAGGUCGAACACAGGACAGGCCGAGGAGUGGGCGUCCACGUGUAACUAGCGCACGUGAAGGUCAUCAUAUACGCCUGAUACACCUCCGAAAUCGAUUUGUUACGGCAACGUCAACGGCCGAAACAGCGUUGGGACGUCGCAUCAGUCGAAGGACUGUCCUCAGACGUUUGACAGCAGGUGGAAUAUGUUGCUAUCCGACCAUUCCGUGGAAUGAGACUAACACAACAACAUCGACUUGAAAGACUGCAAUGGGCAAGACGAGUAUACCGCUGGCAAGUGCGUGACUGGCGUAGGGUCCUCUUCACCGAUGGAAGUCGGUUUUGUCUGCACAAAAAUGACGGCCGACAGAGAGUUUACAGGCGAUGGCGUGAACGUUUUGCAGCAGCAUGCAUUCAAUGCCUAUGGUGGAGUUGGUGUGAUGGUAUGGGGUGGCAUUAUUUGCGACCAAACGACACCCUUGGUCGUUAUUCAGGGGAAUCUCAAUGCUAACGAGUACCGAAAUCAAGUCUUGCAGCCUGUUGUCUUACCUUUCUUGAACAAUCAACCAGCAACUCCCUAUACAGCAAUAGCGACGAGAAACUUUCUUAAUCAAAAUAACGUUAAUGUUCUCCCCUGGCCUUCUCGAUCACCAGAUAUGAAUCCGAUCGAGCAUUUGUGGGAUCAUUUGGGAAGACAAAUUUGUGGUCGUCAUCACCCUCCACAGACAAGACAAGAGUUGGAAGUGGCACUGAGGGACGAAUGGCAGCGACUGCCAAAUGACGUCAUCCGACGCUUGACGUCAUCGAUGCGACGACGUGCACGAGCGUGCAUCGAGGCUGCUGGCGGACACGCACGCUUCUGACGUUGUGAUCGUUCUGGAACAAACUUUUGUCUUUUGUGUGCGCAAUUCGUCAAAGGAAUAUCAUUGUAACUUUGGUAUUUACCCCCUGACUGUUUGAAUGUCAAUGUCACCGUUCAGUUCUUUCAACCAGGUGAUGAUUUGUACACACAGCAAAGUGCAAAUGAAUUUGCUACAAAUUACAUCUAUUACAUAAUCCAAA